rnacentral:rRNA from 1 species
UACGGAGGGAGCUAGCGUUGUUCGGAAUUACUGGGCGUAAAGCGCACGUAGGCGGCUAUUCAAGUCAGAGGUGAAAAGCCCGGGGCUCAACCCCGGAACUGCCUUUGAAACUAGAUAGCUUGAAUCCAGGAGAGGUGAGUGGAAUUCCGAGUGUAGAGGUGAAAUUCGUAGAUAUUCGGAAGAACACCAGUGGCGAAGGCGCUCACUGGACUGGUAUUGACGCUGAGUGCGAAAGCGUGGGGAGCAACAGGAUUAGAUACCUGUAC